GUAUGAGGCACCACUGAUUUAGUUGGUUUGACUGCACUCCGGCCGCUCUGCCUCAUUAGCCAAUCACUGCGCUUACAGAGGGGAGAAAAGUAGGCUGUGUCCCUCCUCCUGAUCUCUCGCUCCCGGGUCGUUGUAUGUGCCGCUAGCAUCCGAGCACAGAUCCGGCGUCUUCACCACGGUCGAGCCGAUCGUUCGUGGGCGGUGUUUAUUGCUGCAACCAGAGCAUUGUCUGCUGGUUGUGUGCUGCAUGGUGGCUGUCUUCCCUGCCACGACUGAUCUCUUCACCCCUCUCCCUCUUUGGACGG